rnacentral:rRNA from 1 species
AACGAACGCUGGCGGCAGGCUUAACACAUGCAAGUCGAGCGCCCCGCAAGGGGAGCGGCGGACGGGUGAGUAACGCGUGGGAAUCUACCCAUCUCUACGGAAUAACGCAUGGAAACGUGUGCUAAUACCGUAUACGUCCUUCGGGAGAAAGAUUUAUCGGAGAUGGAUGAGCCCGCGUUGGAUUAGCUAGUUGGUGGGGUAAAGGCCUACCAAGGCGACGAUCCAUAGCUGGUCUGAGAGGAUGAUCAGCCACACUGGGACUGAGACACGGCCCAGACUCCUACGGGAGGCAGCAGUGGGGAAUAUUGGACAAUGGGCGCAAGCCUGAUCCAGCCAUGCCGCGUGAGUGAUGAAGGCCCUAGGGUUGUAAAGCUCUUUCACCGGUGAAGAGAAUGACGGUAACCGGAGAAGAAGCCCCGGCUAACUUCGUGCCAGCCGCCGCAGUAAGAC